AGCGCAGGUGGUUUAUUAAGUCUGGUGUAAAAGGCAGUGGCUCAACCAUUGUAUGCAUUGGAAACUGGUAGACUUGAGUGCAGGAGAGGUAAGCGGAAUUCCUAGUGUAGCGGUGAAAUGCGUAGAUAUUAGGAGGAACACCAGUGGCGAAGGCGGCUUACUGGACGGUAACUGACGUUGAGGCUCGAAAGCGUGGGGAGCAAACA
rnacentral:rRNA from 1 species